rnacentral:rRNA from 1 species
CAGCCGCCACGGGAAUACGAAGGGGGCUAGCGUUGUUCGGAUUUACUGGGCGUAAAGCGCACGUAGGCGGACUUUUAAGUCAGGGGUGAAAUCCCGGGGCUCAACCCCGGAACUGCCUUUGAUACUGGAAGUCUUGAGUAUGGUAGAGGUGAGUGGAAUUCCGAGUGUAGAGGUGAAAUUCGUAGAUAUUCGGAGGAACACCAGUGGCGAAGGCGGCUCACUGGACCAUUACUGACGCUGAGGUGCGAAAGCGUGGGGAGCAAACAGGAUUAGAUACCCGGGUAGUCCCUGUCUCUUAUAC